GUUAAGCGAAUAAGCGUACACGGUGGAUGCCUAGGCAAUCAGAGGCGAUGAAGGACGUGCUAAUCUGCGAAAAGCGUCGGUAAGGUGAUAUGAACCGUUAUACCCGACGAUAUCCGAAUGGGGAAACCCAGUAUCCAAUGGAUACUAUCAUUAACUGAAUCCAUAGGUUAAUGAGGCGAACCGGGAGAACUGAAACAUCUCAGUACCCCGAGGAAAAGAAAUCAACCGAGAUUCCCCUAGUAGCGGCGAGCGAACGGGGAGCAGCCCAGAGUCUUAAUCAAUAACAGUGUCAGGAGAACGGUCUGGAAAGUCCGGCAGUAAAGGGUGAUAGCCCCGUAUCUGAAGAUGCUGUUAUUGUGAACUCGACGAGUAGGGCGGGACACGUGUUAUCCUGUCUGAAUAUGGGGGGACCAUCCUCCAAGGCUAAAUACUCCUGAUUGACCGAUAGUGAACCAGUACCGUGAGGGAAAGGCGAAAAGAACCCCGGCGAGGGGAGUGAAAAAGAACCUGAAACCGUGUACGUACAAGCAGUAGGAGCCUCUUUAUGGGGUGACUGCGUACCUUUUGUAUAAUGGGUCAGCGACUUAUAUUCUGUAGCGAGGUUAACCGUAUAGGGGAGCCGUAGGGAAACCGAGUCUUAACUGGGCGAAUGAGUUGCAGGGUAUAGACCCGAAACCCGGUGAUCUAUCCAUGGGCAGGUUGAAGGUUGGGUAACACUAACUGGAGGACCGAACCGACUAAUGUUGAAAAAUUAGCGGAUGACUUGUGGAUGGGGGUGAAAGGCCAAUCAAACCGGGAGAUAGCUGGUUCUCCCCGAAAGCUAUUUAGGUAGCGCCUCGUGAACUCAUCUUCGGGGGUAGAGCACUGUUUCGACUAGGGGGUCAUCCCGACUUACCAACUCGAUGCAAACUGCGAAUACCGAAGAAUGUUAUCACGGGAGACACACGGCGGGUGCUAACGUCCAUCGUGAAGAGGGAAACAACCCAGACCGCCAGCUAAGGUCCCAAAGUCAUGGUUAAGUGGGAAACGAAGUGGGAAGGCUCAGACAGCCAGGAUGUUGGCUUAGAAGCAGCCAUCAUUUAAAGAAAGCGUAAUAGCUCACUGGUCGAGUCGGCCCGCGCGGAAGAUGUAACGGGGCUAAACCAUGCACCGAAGCUGCGGCAGCGACACAAAGUGUUGUUGGGUAGGGGAGCGUUCUGUAAGCCUGCGAAGGUGUACUGUGAGGUAUGCUGGAGGUAUCAGAAGUGCGAAUGCUGACAUAAGUAACGAUAAUGCGGGUGAAAAACCCGCACGCCGGAAGACCAAGGGUUCCUGUCCAACGUUAAUCGGGGCAGGGUGAGUCGACCCCUAAGGCGAGGCUGAAAAGCGUAGUCGAUGGGAAACGGGUUAAUAUUCCCGUACUGGUGGUAACUGCGAUGGGGGAACGGAGAAGGCUAGGUUGUCCGGGCGACGGUCGUCCCGGUUCAAGCAGGUAGGCAGAGUGAUUAGGCAAAUCCGGUCACUUAAUGCUGAGAUGUGAUGACGAACCACCAAGGUGGUGAAGCAAUUGAUGCCCCGCUUCCAGGAAAAGCCUCUAAGCUUCAGGUUACCAACAAUCGUACCCCAAACCGACACAGGUGGUCAGGUAGAGAAUACUCAGGCGCUUGAGAGAACUCGGGUGAAGGAACUAGGCAAAAUGGUGCCGUAACUUCGGGAGAAGGCACGCUGGCGGUAGGUAAAGUCCCUCGCGGACGGCGCUGAAGCCAGUCGAAGAUACCAGCUGGCUGCAACUGUUUAUUAAAAACACAGCACUGUGCAAACACGAAAGUGGACGUAUACGGUGUGACGCCUGCCCGGUGCUGGAAGGUUAAUUGAUGGGGUUAGCCGUAAGGCGAAGCUCCUGAUCGAAGCCCCAGUAAACGGCGGCCGUAACUAUAACGGUCCUAAGGUAGCGAAAUUCCUUGUCGGGUAAGUUCCGACCUGCACGAAUGGCGUAAUGAUGGCCAGGCUGUCUCCACCCGAGACUCAGUGAAAUUGAACUCGCUGUGAAGAUGCAGUGUACCCGCGGCAAGACGGAAAGACCCCGUGAACCUUUACUAUAGCUUGACACUGAACAUUGAGCCUUGAUGUGUAGGAUAGGUGGGAGGCUUUGAAGUGUGGACGCCAGUCUGCAUGGAGCCAACCUUGAAAUACCACCCUUUAACGUUUGAUGUUCUAACCUAGGCCCAUAAACUGGGUCGGGGACCGUGUCUGGUGGGUAGUUUGACUGGGGCGGUCUCCUCCUAAAGAGUAACGGAGGAGCACGAAGGUUGGCUAAGCAUGGUCGGACAUCAUGCGGUUAGUGCAAAGGCAUAAGCCAGCUUGACUGCGAGAGUGACGGCUCGAGCAGGUACGAAAGUAGGUCUUAGUGAUCCGGUGGUUCUGAAUGGAAGGGCCAUCGCUCAACGGAUAAAAGGUACUCCGGGGAUAACAGGCUGAUACCGCCCAAGAGUUCAUAUCGACGGCGGUGUUUGGCACCUCGAUGUCGGCUCAUCACAUCCUGGGGCUGAAGUAGGUCCCAAGGGUAUGGCUGUUCGCCAUUUAAAGUGGUACGCGAGCUGGGUUUAGAACGUCGUGAGACAGUUCGGUCCCUAUCUGCCGUGGGCGUUGGAAGAUUGAGAGGGGUUGCUCCUAGUACGAGAGGACCGGAGUGAACGCACCACUGGUGUUCGGGUUGUCAUGCCAAUGGCAUUGCCCGGUAGCUAAGUGCGGAAGAGAUAACCGCUGAAAGCAUCUAAGCGGGAAACUUGCCUCGAGAUGAGUCUUCCCUGUCGCUUUAAGCGACCUAAAGGAACGUUUAAGACUAAGACGUUGAUAGGCUGGGUGUGUAAGCGUAGCGAUACGUUGAGCUAACCAGUACUAAUGAACCGUGAGGCUUAACC
rnacentral:rRNA from 1 species